AAGCAAGCCAAACCAAAUUAGAGUUUAAAUGCAAAAAAUGGCAAAGUCAAACAACAAUGUUGCAAUGUUUCUGAAUUUUUUUCUGAUGAUCUCUUUCCUUCUCAUCAUAAACAUGGCUGAAAGCAAGCUUUUUCCCUUUGCAGCUGGAUUCAUUGAGCAUGGAAAAGCCAAAGAGUUGACACCAACAUGUCUGUCGAUAUAUGGACAACAAGAAGGAGAUACAUGCUUUAGCAUCACUCAAGCAUUCAAUUUGACUUUCGAUUUCUUCCUUCAGAUUAAUCCUAAUCUUAAUUGCGACUCAAUAUUUGUGGGAGAAUGGCUCUGCGUUGAUGGUUUCCUUAGCUAAUUUAAUUUAGAAGGAAAUUAAAUUUGAAUUACAAGGUUGAAUAAAUUGUUGGUCAUCACCUUAUUCUAGCUUUAUUUUCUUGAAACAAGACAUGCUUCAUGUUGAUGUUAAACGUUAUACUAGUAUUAAAUGCCUAGUAUCUUUGUGUAAUAGGUUAAUAUAAGAUGUAUCCCACUUAUUAUCUACGAAAAUGAAUAUUUAUAUUUUGAAAAAUAAAAUAAAAUUUAUUUUACAAAA